rnacentral:tRNA from 1 species
GCGAUCAUCGGCGCAACUGGAAGCGCCAGGCCCUGCUUUGAUCGUCUGGCCAUGCGGGUUCGAAUCCCGCUGAUCGCU